AGCUGGCAGGUUGAUUCCCUGCGGUAGAACGACAGAGUUGACAAACGACUCUAGCUUAAAAAAUAUGAAUAGCAAAUGUUUAGUUAGCAGUAGUGUAGAAGAGUACGACCACUCCAGCAUUUAACUACACUGAGGUGAUAUUUGCAGAUAAACAUGUCCAUGGACCCUCCAAGGUUUUGGCUGAGCCCUGAAUGCUAACAUCUGGACCACACCAGUAUUUAACUGGACCACAUUGAUAUUUGCAGCAUUGCCCUCUCUGGCUACAUGGAGAAAAAUCACCAGAUACACGUCUCAACACAUGCGAGUGCCGUCUUCACUUCCACGCUGCCGUAGAGAAGACGAGCUGGACGUGUUUCAGAUGAUAGAAGAAAAAGAGUUGUCUGCCACAGUUGAUGACGUCGAAAAGACCCUCACUUUACCCCCAACUCCUUGUUUAAUCAGCCUCUGUAUGUAUUCAGUAAAUGGAUAUACUGUUAAUACUGAUCAUUUUUAAAUAAAGGUUAUAUAAUUGAUA